UUCACUCCUCAGAGUCACUUCUCUGAGUCUCUAGUUGAUCACUUGAAAAAUUAGGAUAAUAAUACCCACCUCCCACGGCUGUCACGCUCCUUCAAGAAGACCUGAUGGAAAAUGCACCUGGUUUGUAGCGAUGCUCAGUAAUUGGUGGUGGCAGUAAUGUGAUAGUUAUUUUUAUUGUUGUUAUUACGAAUCGUGUUGUUUUAAUUAGCUGUCAGUUGCCAGGUCUGAGCUGGCUAUCCUAGAGAUAACAGAGCUGCGUGGACAGGGGCUCUGCUCACCACCAAGUGCAGGGGAGGAGGCCACCUCGGGGAUAAGGGAAAGAUUUGCAAGCGUCGUGCAGACGUCCAUUCAUUCGCCAUUUGUUCCUGCCUCUGUGCCCAGGCAAUGCUAUGUCUGCCCCAAGGAUGCAGUUGCAAUGCUGCAUGAUCAGCGCUCUGAACUCGGGACGUCAGGGGUCCAGAGUGCACCUGGUCCAGCCUGAGAUAAGGUGACAGCUGCAGGAACGCUUCCUGGGGCAGGUGGCUUUUGAAAUAAGCAUAAAAGGAAGAGAAUCCAAGCUUCUAGGCUCCCAGCUUAUUUGCUAUGUGACCUCAAGCCAGCCCCUUGCCUUCACUGAGCCUUCUUGCAUGAAAAACGAGGAGUGAGAGUUCACAGGCCACCGAGGGCUGCCUCUAGGAGGGCCUCAGAGUUGCCGCAUCAGUUGAGCCUCAGGGUCUCCAGACUGUGCUGUCAAAGCCAGCUGAAGCAAGGACACUGGAUCCCCUGCAAGAGAGUCAGGCAGGUCGUGCUUCCAUUCCAGCCAGCUCCCAAAGCUACAUGCUUGAGAAUAAGAAAAGGAACUCCAACAAACUGACACGUUUCACAGCUCCCUGCCCCGCUGUUCCAGUUGGAGAGAAAACAAAACCCUGAGCCAAUCUCGCUGACGACCCACACCCUGCCGCAGCCGAGCCUGGACCAUCCAAUGGCUUCCUGGUUCUUUUCAUUCAAUUGGGUCGCCGCGCCUGGCCACCUGCCUGUCCUUUUGAGCACUGAACCACAGGGAUAAAUGGGGAAGCCGGAGCUGGGCAGAUGUCACCGUUUCUGAGAGUGGCUGCUGCCUUACCACCUGGGAUUCUGUUUUCCCCGUUGAAAGACAGAAUAUCCCAGCAACGUGCAAUCUUUCUUUGCUGACAGGUUUGAGGCCUCUUGUAAAGAAGAGCCAAAGAAGGAGAGAGAAACACACUUUUGCUGCUUGCCUGUUCUGAGCCAGGCUCUGCACGGCGCCUGAUGUCCUUUCACUCCUCUGUACGUGUUUUACGGAUAAGAAGCUAAGAGGCAGGGAGCUGAGAGAGCCCCCUCCGGGAGGUGAAAUUAUCACUCUGAAUGUCAAGCUUGCUCUAAACCAGGACGUGGACUGAGACUUCAGGGCUGAGCGGUUUCGGGGGGAUGGCUAAGUUGGGGGAGGGGUAAGGAGGGUGUAUGUUAAAGAAAACAAUUUCACCCGACCUGUGUUUAAAAAUGGCCAAGAAGACUUUACUGAAGACGAUUGUAACAGGGGACAGGGUUUGAACUCAACCUUGAAGACAGGAAGGACAGCUGGAGAUUCGCCAUUUGUUCCUUAUGUUGAAGGAGCAGAGUGAGGGGGUCAGUGGAUGGAAAAUUACUCUGAAGAACUAGAUUAGAUAUCAAGGGUAGAGGACUUUGUGCUAUGUGGGCCCAACGGGAUUCUUGCUAAAGGGACAAGGAUUUAACUACCUAGAGUGGAAGAGAGAAACUUGAUCUGAGAUCAAGGGUAGGGGACUCUCUCCCUGAAUGGGCUUUAUGGGAUUCUUUGCUGGCCAAGGUCAAGGCUUGUAUGAGAAGAGGGCUCAGAGGCACCUGGCUAAAGUUUGGUCAAGGAGGAAGCUCUGUCACGUGGAGGAGACACUUAGGAGCAGGAGGUUGCAGGUCACGGUGUGAAUGUCCAAGUCCCGCCAGAGACGCGGCAGGAUUUGAGGUAUCCCAGGAGGUGCUGAGGGGUGGGGACAAAUGCCCAGAGCCAGGAGGAGGUGACCAGCAGGUGCUGGUUUCAGAGGUCUGGGGACCCCAGUGUGUGUGACAGACCUGGGGUUCUCAGCCUAAGUUCAGGGUCAACAGGGGAGGAAAGAGAUGCUGAAUCCGGUUGGCAGAGUGAGGGCAGCAAAGGGCUCAGGGCAAGGUGUUGAUGGGUGGGUGGCUCAGGCCCCCUUGGUGUCCAGAGGACAUUUUCUGGGCAUCCAUCAGGGACAGUACCAGCCCUCUGCUGUCACUGUGUACCUUAAUGGGAGCUGUCUCCCCAAUUUCUUGCUAACAGAACACAGAUCUGGUCAGGUGGCAAUGUGCCUGGGCCCAGAGGGACCCCAGGAUAAGCACCCUGGAUGAGGGGUAGGACACGUGUGGGGACGUGUGCACUACCUGGGCCCCGACCUGCAGUCCCAUGGACCUUGGUGCUUGGGACUCCCCAGCUGCAGAGCUGAGUCCCAGUUCAGCUGCUUCUUGGCAGGGUGAACUCAGCCCUCGCCCAAUUCAGCUUCCUAAUCCUGAAAACAGGUAAUGAGGACACUUACUCCCUGGGGAGAGUCAUGAGGGUUUCAUGGGCCCAAGCCCGGUCUGGUGAGUUAGCGAAGAUCAUAAUGAUAGUGAGGAGUUAGGACCCCCAUCUCCAUCCCAUGGGGCUGGCCAUGGCAUGCUGCAGGGCUGGCUGACGAGGAGCCAUCCUCCCUGUGGAGUUGCAUGGGAGUGUGUGCAAAGGGCCUGGGGCAGGCUGGCUGAGGCAACCUUUCCUAAAGCUCUCCUACCUUGGCUCCUAUCCAUCCCCUCACUGCCUGAAGGACACAGGUUUCCCCCAAGCCUAUUCACAUUCUACAGAUGAAGAAACUGAGAAAGUGAGGCUCAGAGAGGCAAAGCAGCCCGCCUAAGUCUUGCAACCAGCACGAAGUACAAUGAAGACACAAGUGUGGGGCUUGCCCUGCCCCACACGGGGCUGCAGCAGGGGGGGCCUGCAAGGGAUUUCCGAGACUGAGGACAGCCCAGGCAAAGGUUCAGAGGCAGGAAGGGGCCCGGAAACCCUGGGACUCAUGAGUGUUGGGGAGCACAGUGCCGAGCUGGGAAAGGCGUCUCCCCAGAAAGAGCAGGUCACGCUCAGACUAUGGCCCAGGGUUUCUGUAAAUAGAGCUUCCCACAGUAGGCCCAGCACAGCCAGUGUAAUUUGGAGAAAAAAUUCCAACUGGAUGAAGACAAACGUUCUUUGCUACUACAGCUCCCUGGCCCGCGGGGCCCUCUCACGCUGUUACAGUUGGCGGCCGGCUAGAGACCACGAGCAGAGAGGAAUUUGGAGCCGGGGCCAGGACAGUGCUUCAUUCCAGUGAAACGUGUGCUGGCUGCAGAUUUCUGGGUGGCACCGUAUGGGCCGGAGCCGGCUGGCAUGGAUGGAGGCACACAAGGACGUGUGGGGGCCAGAUUUGUUCCCUGAGGAAUCCCACCAGCCCCCACCGUAACUCAGUUCUGGGACAGCCGAGAGCUUAGGAAUUGGCUUUGGCUUUUCCAGAAGGCGUGGAAAGGUCAGCUCUAUACUGGCCGAGUGUGGAGGCUGGCAGGACCCAAACCAGAAAGGAGAAGUGGCCUGGCUUUGGCCUCAGUGACCAUGGUGUUUGGAUGUGUGCCGGUGAGUCUGCCUUUUCAGGGGGCAGGAGUGUACAUAACCCCAGGGCAAGGACCGUGACAAAAUGUGUCAUUGGCAAAUUCAUCCAACUACUUCCGAACAGCAGCUGUGUGCCAAGCCCGAGUGGGCACUGAGGGUGCCAAGGUAAAUAGGUCUCAAGUUCCAUCUCCUCCCAGCUGGCACCGGCAGGCUCUGGAAUGAGCUGGGUCUGGGUCUGAUCCAGCCUCUGCCCUGACUGUGAGUCACCGUCUCCUCCAGACCCGGCUUCCCCCCUGAGGAGGGCAGGGCUAAGGGUGGUGUCACAGGGGUUACUGGGGCAGUGGUCCUGAGCCUCGCACAACUGGGGCUCUUUAAAUCCCAGGACUCUGAUGAAUCACCCCUGCUAUGGGCUUCGUUGUGAUCCCCAAAAUUCAUCUGUUGAGAUCCUAACUCCCAUCCCUCCACAUGUGGCUGUCUGUACCUGGAGACAGAGCCUCUAAAGAGGUGAUUAAGUUAGAAUCUGGCCAUUGGGGUGGGCCCUGAUCCAGUAGGACUGGUGUUUUUAGAAGAAGAGGAUGGCCGGGUGUGGUGGCUCACACCUGUAAUCCCAGCACUUUGUGGUGGGAUCCAGCCGAGGUGGGCGGAUCACAAGGUCAGGAGAUCAAGACCAUCCUGGCCAACAUGCUGAAACCCUGUCUCUCUAAAAAUACAAAAAUUAGCCGGGCAUGGUGACACCCGCCUGUCCUCCCAGCUACUUGGGAGGCUGAGGCAGGAAAAUCACUUGAACCUGGGAGCCAGAGGUUGCAGUGAACCGAGAUUGCGACACUGCACUCCAGCCUGGGGACAGAGUGAGAUUCCAUCUCGAAAAAACAAAAGAGGAAAUUAGGACACAGACACCCACAGAGGGACAAUCAAGUGACCAAAGACACUGGGAGAAGGUGGCAUCUACGCACCAAGAGGAGAGGGGCCUCGGGAGGAACCACCCGGCCGGGACCUCGGCCUCGGCUUUGGCCUCCUGAGUGGUGAAAAGGCGGAUCUCUGUUGCUGAAGCUGCCCCUCGGUGCUGCCUGGGUAUUAUGUCAACUCGAGCAAACCACAAGCCACAGUACAGACCCUUGCCAGCCAGAGUCCCCCUACACUGUGCCCGCUGUGGAACCCGGCUGGCACUCGGCCGGAGCCCCCCUGCACUGUGCCCCCUGUGGAACCCGGCUGGCAUUCGGCCGGAGCCCCCCUGCACUGUGCCCCCUGUGGAACCCGGCUGGCACUCUUGCUGGGGUUCAGUUCUAGAUGAGGCAGAUCAAAGAUGAUUCUCCACCCAGAGGAUCCCAAGCGUUUCUCUCAAAGGACAUGCCUUCCAGCACCUCUGAUGGAGCAUACAGUUAAUUACAGCCAAGUCCCGGCACCUGCCUCCAGGGACCGUUCUUAGGGACGCUCUAGUUCUGAAGGUGCUUUUGGCCAUGGCAUCCUGGUUGAAAAACAAUUUAGAGGAACAAGCAGUUGAGUGAGCCCUGGUGGGUCCAUUCAAUGGAGUCCAAAGUAGCUUACACCCAGUUGGUCUGAAAGUUGCACCCAGGGAAAGGCAGAAGGAGACUGAUGCCUAUUGAACGGCCCUCCAAGCAGUUCCUGGCUCCAAGAAAUGCUCUCUGUAAGUUAUCUUGCUUAUUUUUCUUUUUUCUUUUUCUUUUUUUUGAGUUGCAGUCUUGCUCUGUCACCCAGGCUGAAGUGCAGUGGCAUGAUCUCAGCUCACUGCAACCUCCACCCCCGAGGUUCAAGAGAAUCUCCUGCCUUAGCCUCCCAAGUAGCUAGGAUUAUAGGCGCCCACCACUGUGCCCCUGAUAAUUUUUGUAUUUUUAGUAGUGAUGGGGUUUCACCGUGUUGACCAGGCUGGUCUCGAACUCCUGAUCUCGUGAUCCACCUGUCUCAGCCUCCCAAAGUGCUGGGAUUACAGGUGUGAGCCACGGCAACUGGCUUUGUUUAUUUUUCUUCAUAAAGAAACUAGAUACUUUUAUCCCUGUUUUACACUCAAUCCUAAAGAACAUCUCAAAGGCAGGGACUUGUGUCUCCCUCCCUUUCCUUCCCAGCACCCAGCACCCAGCACAAGCCUCCAUCCAGUUGACUGCAGCAGAAAACAUGGAUGCCUGCUGGCCAUGUGCCGGCCACACCCUGAGUCCGAGACGUGUGCUAAUUUAUCCCGUUCUCAAUGCCCACGGCAAAUACUGUGUCAGACACAUUUCACAGAGUCUGAAGCCCAGAGGGGCUGUGACUUAUCCAAGCUAAAUGCUGAGAACAUUGAGGGUGUCAGGAGUCACCCCUGGCACUCCUGGGCUCCUGGCUGAAGUAUGUAGCCUCUGGCUCUCCUGCUUCUCAGCCCACAGCAGUUGAAGGACUGAAUGAGUGAGUGCCCCUGCUGCCUCCUGGCUGCUGGUAAAUCCCCUAGACCUAUUAAGCCUCAGUGUCCUCAUCUGUAAAAUGGGCUUUCCCGCUCCCCACCAGGAGCUGCCUUGUGCUGCUGUGAGAGAGAUGUGACCUGAUUCCAGAGACUCGGCUCCAGUUGUGUGGACUGCCAGCUUUGUGGCGGCAGGGAGGGCGGGGCCUGUGGGGCCAUCUGCAGCCCCUGGUGCCUGUCUCCAAGUGUCUGAUGAAGCACCUGAAUCUAGGACCUGGGGUCCUCGGGGCAUGGAGACUCACCCUGGCUCCUUCCUUCCUCUGUGGCCCUGAGUCACUGGCUUAGGAACCCCUAGCUCAGCAGCCUGCAUGAGCUUCAAGUGCUCUUGGAGCAGCCCAGGCUCACACCCAGGACUUGAGGCCACGAUGACCACCUGGCAUGUCCCUCUGCCCAGCACGGCCCCAGCCCUGAUGGCUCCCAGCCCUCUGGAAAGGGCCAGCCCGGCUGGAUGAGGGACGCCAGCCCAGACGGUAAUGAGGGUUCCCUGUGGAAUGAGAGAGACCACAUGGUUGGCGGUGGCGCCUGGAUGGCACCCAGCAUUUUUCCAGGGCAUUCCGGGAAUCCCGCUCUGGCUCCCUGUCUGACGCACUUGGAGUCAGUGCUCAAGCCAGCCGCCCGCUCUGGGCUGGCCGAGAAACAGGCCGCCUGCAUCCCAGGAGUGCCGGAUGUGCGAGGAAGCCUGGAGUACCCGGACUUAAGUGGGCCCGGCUCACCACCCCCGUUUCACAGAUGAGGACACAGAGGCCCAGAGGCAGGGCAACCCACCCACCCUGGAUGCCCUGUCAAUCAUCAGAGCGGCUCCCCUCAGAUCCCGCUCACCCCAUCCUGCCGUGUUUUCGACUGCAGCAGUGGGACCACCCAGACCCUGCCUCACCCUGGCUGAGAAAGGAGGGGCUGGGCCUUCGGCACCAGGGAGAGGCCCUGGGACUGCCACGUCCCAUCACACACCCCCAUCCCCAGGACACAGAGGCUUCAUCUGGUUAUUUAUGGAACCGUCACUCCCUGCCACAGCCUGCCCAGGACACGGUUUCCGCCUUUGAGGACACACAUAGGAGCAGUGGCCUCCAGGCCCGAGCUGUAAAUGCCAAAAAGAAGGGAGCACAGUGGGAGGACGGAGCACAGGGAUGGAGGCACUGGGGAGAAGGGUCCUGAGUCCGCCAGAAAAGCCAGCCCAGGGCCCAUGGCUGCUGGGCUUCAGGCAGAAGCCCCCCCCCCACACACACAAGAAAGCGGCCCCUGUGGUUGUCAUUGGGGCCUUGGCAGAGGUGUGAAUGAGGGUAGGACUCAGCCAUCCCCUCCAAGCCAAGCCAGGAGGUCAGCCUGGAGGAAGGGGCCUGACUGUAAUUGGUACAAGGGUGCAACCUGAGCUGGUAGCUGCUUGAGGAGAAGGAUGAGUAGUGCCAGCAAGCCAACCAAGAGCUUGACGAGUGUCCCUGGGGACAUCUGGGGUUCAUGCUAAGGUCUGGGAACGAGCUCUGGGUCAUGCUAGGAGCUGUGGGACAAAAGGACUUGCUCUUUCAGCCAAACUGGACCCAGAAGAAAGCAUGGAUCCCAGAAGCUGGAGCAAAGGGUGACAUUGCUCCAGCCACCCAGGAGGCCCAACCUCAGCUCAUAGCUGUGUCUGUCCAGGGUGACCUGUCCCUACCUCCCCUACCACCCCGCCAAAAAACCUUCCUUGCCUCCGUGGACAGAUUCAGCCCUAGAGGGGCGAGAGCAACACCCAGCUAGAGGGAGCGGACAGAGGAGAAACUGACUGCACCCCUGACCCCUGGACUACGCGGAGCGGAGCGGAGCGGAGCGGAGCUGAGCUGGCGGAGGAGGGAGCUUCAAAAUCUAUGAGUCUCAAAGAAGACCUUUGAGUGGAGCCUGUUAUCUGCUCGCUUUCCAGAGGGAGCCACUGAGGCACAGCGAAGCUAAAGGAGGCCCCAAGGUCACACAGCCAGCACACAGCAGAGCCGGAAGCAGAUGGAGCAGGCUGGCCCCUUCCUGGCCUGUGGGACUGCUUCCCGGCAGACACACUUGCAUGCCUGUUAAUUCAUCCCCCUCCGUCUCCGUGAAGCCAAUGCCAGUGUCGUGGAUGGGGCACUUGCUGGGAACCCGGCAGCACUGUGAGAGCAUCACAUGUCAUCUGGUGGAAUCCCCAUUUACAGAUGGAGACAACAUUAAUCUCAAAGGAAUUCAUCUCUAACAGUGAAGCUUCAGAGUCCAAGAAGGAUGUGGGAGGGAUUAUCUGAAAAAACCUCCCUACAUCCCUGAGGACAGACACCUGCCGCACAGGGCCAAGGAAAAAUCACAGAGCUGGGGGGGCCUGGGUUCGAGUAAUAACAGUGUAACCAAGUAUCCCCAAUUUUUCUAAGAAAAAUAUGAUGAGUUAUUAUCUUUCUCUUUUUUCUGAUUCUCCCUAUUCCCGACCUCCUACUUAUCCCUUUAGAACUACAAUUAUAGCCAGGUGUGGUGGCUCAUGCCCUGUAAUCCCAGCACUUUGGGAGGCCGAGGUUGGCGGAUCACCUGAGAUCAGGAUUUCAAGACUAGCCUGACCAACAUGGAGAAACCCCAUCUGUACUAAAGAUACAAAAUUAGCUGGGCAUGGUGCUGCAUGCCUGUAAUUCCAGCUACUCGGGAGGCUGAGGCAGGAGAAUUGGUUGAACCCGGGAGGCGGAGGUUGUGGUGAGCUGAGAUCCCACCAUUGCACUCCAGCCUGGACAACAAGAGUGAAACUCGGUUGAAAGAAGGACAGAAAGAGAGAGAGAGAGAGAGAGAAGGAAGGAAGGAAAAAAGGAAGGGAGGGAGGAAUACAAUUGUAACCUUUUGCCUCCCCUUCACCUGAAGCUUGCUAUAGGUCAAGUCCAUCUAGCCACGUGCUUAGAUGCUCCAGAGUGAAACUCCCACCCACCAGGAGGCUGCCUCAAGAGAUAACAAUCCAUCUACAACCCAAAGGAUGUCUGCUCUGAAAUUCCUCCCACCUGGAGAGGUUUCAGCUGCUUUUACAACCUAGUCCUGCCCAUGGAGGUGCCAGCAGUCACCAGCUUGACCACUGCCUGGCAGAUCAAGUAUCAAGCUGACACAGAGGCCCCCACCUGCUCGCUUCCUCCCCUGUGUACCACUCAUGUUAGGCCCCCUUUAAAAAGCACUUACUUUCUGCUCCAAAAUUAAAGCAAUGCCCUUAAGGCAGGAAGCCUAUACUUCUUCCCCUAAGCAGGCGUGGGAAUAAAACGUCACUUUCUUUAUGUCAGGCCUGACUUGCUAAUUGAACUCUGCAAGUGGCAAGUAACUGAACCUGCGUUUAGGUUAUGACAGCGACAGCUGCUGUGUGCCAGUGAGCCACUCAUGGUUUUGAGUAUGUUAUGCACAUUAUCUCAUUGAAUCUUCCCACAAUUCCAGAAUGGAAAGACCACCAAGCCCUAAGGGGUCAAGGGUCCCACCUGAGGUUGCAGAAAGUGACAGCCAGCUAGCCAGAAGGCAGAGCCCACCCUCCCACUUGCCCUUGGCUGCCCUGGUGGGGCCACAGAUGCUUCCCCUGAAGGUAUCCGUGACUCAGUUUCCCAUUGUGAAGAGCCUGUGGGCUGCAUCGUGGGUUUCAAGGUCUCUCUGGUCUCUGGCAUUCUGGGACCCUGCCCUCCAGCUUCUUAUUUUCUCCCUCACCUUCUGCUCACCUUCAUCGCCCCCCACUGUGCAGUGCAGCUUGUCACCAAGUGCUGGACAUCCUCUUGGGGCAGAAUUGGCAGAUUUUCAUGUGUGGGAAAGUAGAAAAGUUCCUUUUUAAAGGUUUCUUUCUUAUUAAAGUGUGCUAAUAACCUUGUUAAGUCCUACGUAGCUGUUAGACAUGCCAUGCUUACAGGCACGUAGUACAUUCUGUGUCCUUGUACUUUAACCAAGAUAUCUGUGUUGGAUGUGCUCACAGGCAUGUCCCAGCUCUCCACUGCUGUUACCUGUUUAGAAAAGUUGUAAGUUAUCAGCCAAUCGGGUUUUAGUUUAGAUUGUGAGGUCUGGCUCCAGCCAAUGGAAAUCAGACACAGCAGUAAAGACGACUCAAAUGCGUAAGGAAUAAAUUUGUGUGUUUUCCUUUG